rnacentral:rRNA from 1 species
UAAUAGUGUAUAUUAAAGUUGUUGCAGUUAAAAAGCUCGUAGUUGAAUGUUGGUGUCGAACGAGCGGUCAGCUUCGGCUGUACUGCUCUCUCGACUCCUUCCUUCUGUGGACUACGUCGCACUUUACUGUGUGGCGCUAGGACGCAGAUCGUUUACUGUGAAAAAAUUAGAGUGUUCAAAGCAGGCCGUACGCUUGAAUACAUUAGCAUGGAAUAAUGGAAUAGGCCGUCGGGCCUAUUUUGUUGGUUCUAGGACCGUCGUAAUGAUUAAUAGGGACAGUUGGGGCCGUUUAUAUUCCGUAGUCAGAGGUGAAAUUCUUGGAUUUACGGAAGAUAAACUACUGCGAAAGCAUUCGGCAAGGAUGUUUUCGUUAA